rnacentral:rRNA from 1 species
GUUUGACCUCGGAUCAGGUAGGGUUACCCGCUGAACUUAAGCAUAUCAAUAAGCGGAGGAAAAGAAACCAACAGGGAUUGCCUUAGUAACGGCGAGUGAAGCGGCAA